AUGGUAGCUCAAUUAUGUGGGAGUUUUAUACAGAUCGUUGAAAUAGAUGAGUUCUAUAUUAUAUGAGAUGCUGGAUUGUAACUUCAAAACAGGUUUUUUGGUUUACCUUCUCUUUGUUCUGGCAAAAGGGUUUAAGGAAAACUUUCUAACAUCCUCUGUUUUCCCGAGUCUUCUGCUGUAUUCUAAUUUCAUAUACUUUCUGCUGUGAGAAGAACACUUACGAAAAAUCAUUUGUGGGAUUGUUCAAGCCAUGUAGAGAGUAAUCUGAUCUGCUCCCUUGAAUCUAGCAACUUCAAAGUUAAAUUCAAAAACUGUUACAGUCUUUGAAGAAGGAACAUAUAAGAAAUGUGAAGAUCAUUCUACCUGUUACGUAUUCUUCCUGUUCCUACAGAGAUAUUGGAAAUUUGGGAAUAACAUUACAUAAAUAUGCAUGUAAUCAUCUUUCAAGCAUGAAAUCCUCUUGAAGUCAAUGAUAAUUUGUAGCUGACUUGAGUAGAAUCUGUUUUCUUCACUCCUUGAAUUGUAUACUGGAAAAAGACUAUCUCAAUUCGGGAAGGGGUGGAAGAAGGGCAAGAAACUACUAAGUUAUAUUAAGUUACUUUUUUGUUUGUUUUUGUUUGUUUGUUUGUUUUUUUCAGAAAAUAAACCAAAUUAAGUAAUAAUUGCAAUAUUGGGGUGGAGGAGAAACAUUCUUUGGAUUCUUAGUUAAUUUGGUCUUUUCCUAGCAUAGAAUUGUCAAAUAAACUCUCAGAGGAGGAGGGGGAAAACUGAAAAAGGCAUUCUGCUGGUGAUUUCAGUAAGGUGUUCAGUUUCUUAGGAUUGCUGUAAUGAAAUGGUGGAUCUCAUCCCUAGCGUGUAGCUUUUUACAGCGUGUGGCAGGAUGAACUGGAGUUAGUGAACAAAAUGUCUUUCUGCUCUGUAUCUGUAGUGUAGCAAGAUAAAAUCAGUGCUAAAAAGAAUAGGUUUAUUUUGGGAAAGGCCACAUCUGUUCAGAGAAGAGUAGAAGUAGCAAUAUCCACAGGCAUGUCUUGGAUUUUUUUUUCUUUCCUACUCUUGAAAGGGAGUUCUAAUUGAAGAAGGUCACCAAGCCAGGCAACCUACCCAGCAUUGCCAAAUGCAUUUGUAGAAUCCUUUUUUCCUCCCUUACUUUACACCCUUAAAUCACCUUUUCACAAUGGUAGAGUGUAUGUUUUUUAUAUAUGUGCACGUAUCUGUUAUUGUUUUUCUCAUUUUUAGGGAGUUCUGUCUUCUUCUGUAAGAUCACUAGUGAUUUAUUCUUUUUCUCAGGGAGGCAGAAAAGUCCAAAUUAAAUAGUUACAGUGCUGUAUUUUCCAGCACUGCUUUCUUAAAACCUUGGAAAUUUGUCUUAGACUUCAGCGGAAGCUCUUUAGAAAGUAACUUGUAAUUCAGUAAUUUUCCUUACAGUGGAAAUAGUUGGCAAAAUUAAAAUGCAUAGCUCAAAAUGUUAGUUAAGAGAUAUAUACAUAUAACUCCAAAUCUAUGUGUAUAACUUUAUAUUUUUAAAUAUGAGAAUGUAAUAUAUUAAUAUGUAUUUAAAGUAGUCUGCACAAAACAUUCACAUAAGAUGUGCUUUCCAAGUUUCCUGUAAGACUUCUCAGACUGUUUUUUCUAGCUGGUUCUCAACUGGGUAUUAAUUCUUGUCUUUCCAUCUCGUCAGAGUACAGUAUGGAGCUAAAUGGUCAAAUUUGUCAUGACCUUAGCAAGUGGUUGUGCUUGAGCAAAUGAAAAUGAAGCACACGUAGGUUCCCUCUCACUUGAAUAGAAGUGACAGUAAGCCGUAGUACCAAGAAUUCUCUGCCACUGAAAAAGCAAAGCUGAGCUGUAUUACUGCAGGAGAUGAGGAUGAGAAAUUAUGUGAAGUCAAUGGAGUUCUGCCUGCUUCAGGACUGCAGGGAGUAGCCCAAUAUCAGCUGGGAAUAACAAUGUGAAAAAGGUCACUGAUUGCUCAGCUUUGCCUAAUGUAAUCUCCUCCCGAUUAUCAACAGAACAAUUGCACAUUAAGCUUGUAGAGUUAUGAACAUAUAUUACAUAUUUGAGGAAUUUUCUUCAGGGAAAGAGCACAAUAGAUAUCCUUGAAUAAAUCUUGGACUCUUCCAAAUUCUCUGAAUUAAUUUUUCUGAGCUCUGAUGUCCCGUCUUUCCAAAUAUAGAAGUAUUGAAGUAUAUACUGUUUCUUUGGGAUAGAAGCAAUGCAAAAUACAGUUCUAUUUAGGCCUAUAUGCACAGUGCUGUUCUCAUAGAAAUAUGUUCAAGCUCAUAAUUACAUUAGUUUUCCUUCGAUUAUCCUUUCCUCUGUCCAAUAUUCAGUUUUUGUGUUAAUAAAAUAAUCAAUGGUC
ensembl:lncRNA